CUCUCGCUGGUAGUUUCCGCUAACUUUCUUCUUCGGCGUAUUGUCAUGAGAGCUGCCGGUCGGAUGCAAGCUAGUUCUACACAGAGAGGGUUUCUGUCAUCCAUUGUUCAUUGUUUCUCCUCACCUUGGUGCCUUGGAAAGCUUCGUCUUUUGACAAAAAAGGAGGGAAGUGGAUACAGUGAAGAUCACUGAAGCCUUUAAAAGCCAAUCCUGGACUCCGUCUUCUUUGGAAUCCUCACCUCAUGUUAGCUAUCUGUUGAACUGUUUACGUCGCAGACACAGACACGUAGGACAGAAUAGACAGUACUCUUCACUGCUUCAGUACAGCUCAGAAACAGGGUGGUUAUAAGGAGGACACACUCAGCCAUGGAACUGACUGCUUAUUUUGCCCAUGAUAUGUCUUCCAGCAUAUAAAAUCUCCAUAUGGACAUGCUAACAAGGUCUAAGAAAAAUAUUUUCACUUGAGGGGGCAUUUUAAAUUUGUACAUUGUCAUGCUACCUGUUCAGGGCUCUAGAGUAACUUUUUUUCCUAGGAGCACAGUGGCCCCUAACUUAAAAUUUUAGGAGCGCAAGCAGAAAAUUUAGGGGCACACACCAAAAUCAACUUGCAAAGUAAACAUGCCCAUUUCCUCUCAUUUUCACUGUAUAAAUACUUGCACAAUAAAUGCACAAACUAUGUUUUCAAUUCACAAUUUAUUGUGCAGCAGUUGACACAACACAAGAAAAGCACUCAGAGAGCGCAGCACUCUGCUAAGGCUGCUCAGUUGUAUAAUUUUCGAUGGAUGAAAUCUGUAAUAAAAAUGACCUUGUGCUGAGCACAGGCAUGUGUUAUGCAUGUGCACGUUAUGUAUUUAUACCGAAUCACGUGUAAAUUACUCUUAUAAAGGUCUGUUGAUCAGUUCAUCAAUUUUGGCAAGCCUUUGUUUUGCUAGUGUUAAAAUAACCGUUUCCUCCAGGCUUUUAUUUUGAAGGUGUAUUUUUAAUGCUACGGGCUUUUAUUUUGUGACCAUUUCAGCGGCACAGGAAGUGUUUCUCUAAGACGAGGUUUCUUGACCUGACAGACGCUGCAUAAAAGUCUGAAAAUCCACGUAAAGUUGAAAGAAAACGGUUCCACGCUGUUGCCGUCUAGCAAAGGAUGUGUUUAAACUUAGAAGCAGCUAGAAUGGAGACAAGAAAGGAGUGAAGGACAGAAAGGUGAAUUUGUGUUCAAAAUAAGGCUGAACGUAAAUAAAGGUUUUGUGAAACAUCAGGAGCUUCACCGUCAUUCGCUCCCCACUCUCACUUA